rnacentral:tmRNA from 1 species
CGAAACAGUGUCGACGGACGUGUAAAGACGAGGCUUUCGCUCGGCUGGGCUCCGUUAGAAGCCCAUCGCAAAUAGUCGCAAACGACAACUUUGCUGAAGGUGAACUGCUCGCAGCGUAAGCUGUGCGUGGAUUACCGCUUUAACUCCUAGGGAUUCAGACCCCUAGGCGGGGCCCGGAGGCGCCUGGCAACAGAAGCCUCCACC